rnacentral:rRNA from 1 species
GAUGAACGCUGGCGGCGUGCCUAAUACAUGCAAGUCGAGCGAGCGGACGAGAAGCUUGCUUUUCUGAUGUUAGCGGCGGACGGGUGAGUAACACGUGGAUAACCUACCUAUAAGACUGGGAUAACUUCGGGAAACCGGAGCUAAUACCGGAUAAUAUUUUGAACCGCAUGGUUCAAAAGUGAAAGACGGUCUUGCUGUCACUUAUAGAUGGAUCCGCGCUGCAUUAGCUAGUUGGUAAGGUAACGGCUUACCAAGGCAACGAUGCAUAGCCGACCUGAGAGGGUGAUCGGCCACACUGGAACUGAGACACGGUCCAGACUCCUACGGGAGGCAGCAGUAGGGAAUCUUCCGCAAUGGGCGAAAGCCUGACGGAGCAACGCCGCGUGAGUGAUGAAGGUCUUCGGAUCGUAAAACUCUGUUAUUAGGGAAGAACAUAUGUGUAAGUAACUGUGCACAUCUUGACGGUACCUAAUCAGAAAGCCACGGCUAACUACGUG